AUUGAACGCUGGCGGCAGGCCUAACACAUGCAAGUCGAGCGGAUGAAGGGAGCUUGCUCCUGGAUUCAGCGGCGGACGGGUGAGUAAUGCCUAGGAAUCUGCCUGGUAGUGGGGGAUAACGUCCGGAAACGGGCGCUAAUACCGCAUACGUCCUGAGGGAGAAAGUGGGGGAUCUUCGGACCUCACGCUAUCAGAUGAGCCUAGGUCGGAUUAGCUAGUUGGUGGGGUAAAGGCCUACCAAGGCGACGAUCCGUAACUGGUCUGAGAGGAUGAUCAGUCACACUGGAACUGAGACACGGUCCAGACUCCUACGGGAGGCAGCAGUGGGGAAUAUUCGACAAUGGGCGAAAGCCUGAUCCAGCCAUGCCGCGUGUGUGAAGAAGGUCUUCGGAUUGUAAAGCACUUUAAGUUGGGAGGAAGGGCAGUAAGUUAAUCCCUUGCUGUUUUGACGUUACCAACAGAAUAAGCACCGGCUAACUUCGUG
rnacentral:rRNA from 1 species